AUAGGCCCCAGGCAGACUCCCCUCAACCCUCCAACCAUGUUAGGUUAGAGCAACAAGAUGGCUGUUGAUAAGCAAGCAGGUCCUUGCCAAACACUGAACCUGCUAGUUCUUUGAUCUUGGACUUCCAGACUACAAAACUGUGAGAAAUGAAUUUCUGUUGCUUUCUCCACUUUCUAUGAUAUUCUGCUAUAGCAGGCUGAGCUCUAUAUGAUAAUGCACUGGAAGGCCAAACAAUGAAGCCACCAUGUUUUAGGGACAGAAAGCUUACUGUGCGAUAGCCAAGCAAGAAUUCAGGAGCAAAAGCUGACAUUUGACUCCCUUCACAGCUUUUGUAAAGUAUAUUUAUUGAGAAGAGAA